rnacentral:lncRNA from 1 species
CUCCCCCUUCCGUGUCUAUUCCUCCUCCUUCCUCCUCUCAACUCCCUUGUCCUUUUUCCUCUCCUCUCUAGCCUUCUUUUUUCUCACUCCCUUUCUCCUCUCCCCCAUCCUUCUUUCUUUCCUCUCCCCCUACUCCUCUCUCCCCCUCCUCUCUUUCCCUUCCCUCUCUUCUUCCUCUAUCCUCCUCUCCUCUGGUUCCCCUCUCCUCCAUCCCUCCUUCCUCUUUCCCAUUCUCUCCACCCUCCUCCUUCCUCUCUCCCCCUCCUCCUUCCUGCUUCUCUUCUCCCCUCACCCUCCCUAUUAUUCCUUUCUCUUCCUACACCCUCCUCUCCUCUCUUCCGUCUCUUCUUCUUCCCUCUCUCCCUGUUUCAUCUCCUCCUCCCUUCUAAUCCUCCUUCCUCCUUUCUUUCUCCUUCUUUCUCCCCCUCAUUCCUCCCCUCUCCUCUUUCCCCUUCCUCUCCUCCCUUCCCUCCCCUUCUCAUCUUCUCUUUCCCUCCAUCCCUCUUCUUUCCUGUCUCCCCCUCUCCUCUCCAUUCUUCCUUUUUCCUGUCGCCCCCUCCUCUCCCCUUCUUUCUUCCUUCUUCCCUCCUCCCCUUCCGAAUUCCUCUUCUCUCCUCUUUCUCUCCCCCUCCUUCCUUCCUUCUCCCCUUCCUCCCUCCUCUUCUCAUCUCCUCCUUGUCUCUUCUCCUCCACUCCAUCCCUACUCCUUCUUCUCUCCCUCUCUCCCUCCCUCCUCCCCCUCCCCAUUCCUUCUCUCCUCUUUCCCCCUUCUCUCCCCCUCCUCUCCUCCCUUCUCUCUUCUUUCUCCCUCCUCUAUCCCCUUCUCAUCUCCUCCUUCUGUCUUUCCCCUCCUCUCUAUUCUCUCUCUCCUCCCUCCCCUUCUCCUUCCACUCCAUCCCUCCCCUUUCCUGUCUCCCCCUCUCCAUCCCUCCUCCUUCCUCCUCCUCAUUCCAUUUCUCUCCUCUUUUCCCCUCUUAUCUUACCCUCCUCUCCUCCCCCCUGCCUACUCAUCUCCUUCUCCUCUCUUUCCCCUCCCCUCCCUCCUCCCUCCUCCUUCUCCCCGGCCUCGGCUCUCCUCCCCCGCUCCUCCCUCCUCUCUCUCUCUCUCCCCACCCCUCCCCCCUCCCUCCUCUCUCCCCUCCUCUUCCCUCUGCCUCCUCCUCCCUCCCCUUCGGAAGGGGAGGAGCCGCGGCUGGGUCUCUGCCCAGAGCCGCCGCGGCGGGCAGGGGCAGCGGCAGCGGCUGCGUUUGCAGCCAGAGGAAGAGGAGGAGGAGGAGGAAGAGGAAGGCGCCCAGGACCCCGAGCGGCGGGGAGGCGGCGGCGGCGGCGCAGGAAGAGCUGGUUAACAAGAUGGCCCCUGCUGCCGGAGCGGCCUCGGCAGCAGCAGGUGGGAGCUGGGAGGCGGCGCUGGCGGCGGCGGGGGCCGUGGCCCGGCGGCCCGGGUCCGAGGCGGCGGCGGCGGCGGCGGCGGCAGCGGGGGCGGCGGCGGCGGGGACCGUGACGGCGGCGGCGGCCGCGGGGGCCCGGAGCUGA